AUUGAACGCUGGCGGCAGGCCUAACACAUGCAAGUCGAGCGGAGCGGCGGACGGGUGAGUAAUGACUAGGAAUCUGCCUGGCAGUGGGGGAUAACGUCCGGCAACGGGCGCUAAUACCGCAUACUAUCAGAUGAGCCUAGGUCGGAUUAGCUAGUUGGUGGGGUAAAGGCCUAGCAAGGCGACGAUCCGUAACUGGUCUGAGAGGAUGAGCAGUCACACUGGAACUGAUACACGGUCCAGCAGCCUCCGGGAGGCAGCAUUGGGGAAUAUUGGACAAUGGGCGAAAGCCUGAUCCAGCCAUGCCGCGUGUGUGAAGAAGGUCUUCGGAUUGUAAAGCACGUUAAGUUGGGAGGCGUUACCAACAGAAUAAGCCCCGGCUAACUUCGUGCCAGCAGCCGCGGUAAUUC
rnacentral:rRNA from 1 species